UCCACUGAGACUGCAGGCACUGUUGAAAUGGAAGGAAAAGGAGAAGGAAUGAGAGGAACAGGAAUGAUCUAGAGUCUGAUUAAUAUCGCCACCAAUUUCUGUAUAAGAAGCAGUAAUUUUCUGUUUUUUGAUGCCAAUUGCCUGAAUGUUGCCUGUUCCAACCGAUAAACAUCACAGUAUCUCCCUGGAGUGAGCCUCUCAUGUCAAGUGCUUGUGGGUGUUUCUGAAGACAGAGUGUGGAACUUUCUUGAACUUUCCAGAGUGAAAAGUGGAAGACCAGGUCGGAUGGUCUGUGUUGAAGACCUGCCUGUUGCGCUGCCUGGAUGAUCUUUAUCAAGCAACCCUCAUCUUUCUAGAUCCCAGGUUAAAUAUGCUUAAAAUGGUGAAGCUGAGCUGAUCUCCAAUUUCCCUUCUGGUCCGAAAACUCCAAUAUUACAACCAUGGAACCAUUCACCAUCCCAGCCCGUUUUUCCUUGAUCCUGAACCCAGCUAACCAUGCCAGAGCCCUGUUCUAAUUCAAUUGCAUACUUUUGCACCUGCUGAAUCCUAAACUCAAUCGUUCCCGUGACCGCAGGACCAUAGGGCAUGGGUUGGGGACCGAACGCUGAGUGCCAAGGAGAAAAAGUGAAGAAGACCCUGACGUUGGCCAGCUUGUAGUAAAAGCUUGCAGCAGGAAAGUUAACCAGGGAAGA